GCGGGCGUGGCGGAAUUGGCAGACGCGCUAGGUUUAGGUCCUAGUAGUUUUACUGUGCAGGUUCAAGUCCUGUCGCCCGUACCA
rnacentral:tRNA from 1 species